GACGAACGCUGGCGGCGUGCUUAACACAUGCAAGUCGAACGGUGAAGGGGAGCUUGCUCCCCGGAUCAGUGGCGAACGGGUGAGUAACACGUGGGCAACCUGCCCCUGACUCUGGGAUAACGCUUCGAAAGAGGUGCUAAUACCGGAUACGAACUCCCUUGGCAUCUGGGGAGUUGGAAAGUUUUUCGGUCAGGGAUGGGCCCGCGGCCUAUCAGCUUGUUGGUGAGGUAACGGCUCACCAAGGCGACGACGGGUAGCCGGCCUGAGAGGGCGGCCGGCCACACUGGGACUGAGACACGCCCCAGACUCCGACGGGAGGCAGCAGUGGGGAAUAUUGCGCAAUGGGCGAAAGCCUGACGCAGCAACACCACGUGAGGGAUGACGGCCUUCGGGUUGUAAACCUCUUUCAGCAGGGAAGAAGCGAAAGUGACGGUACCUGCAGAAGAAGCACCGGCUAACUACGUGCCAGCCGCCGCCGUAA
rnacentral:rRNA from 1 species